rnacentral:tRNA from 1 species
GUAAAUAUAGUUUAAACAAAACAUUAGAUUGUGAUUCUAAAAACAAAAGUUAAAAUCUUUUUAUUUACC